UGGUAAACCGAUAUUUAUUGUCUUUUGUUCGGUGUAUUUGCAUUACGAGGUCAGUGGUUAAAAUGCUCAUUUGCGUCCAAUCAGAAUCCACGAAAUUUUAAUUUUGGGCGUCAGCAAUCUAUAAAUAACUGUUUGGUUAUGUAAUAUACCGUGUAAAUAUAUGAUUAUAUGUUUAGGACAAUUAAUACGAUAUCAUCCCUACUCGAUUUCGCAAUAGAUAAACAAUUAAAGCACACAGUAAGGUGAAGGCCGUUCAGGUAAUACCAUGGACAGUAUAAUAUGCCUAUACGGUCCAUGGUAAUACAUUACUAGUGACGACACUGUAGCCUGCAUUGUAUAUAUAUAUAUUAGGCUACCUAAUUCUUAUAUCCCCAGACCAUGGUCAGCUUGAAGUCGUAAAACUAUAAAUUAUAUGACUUUCUGAAGUAUCAACGGCACGGCUCUAAAAUGAAUCAAACAGAGACUGGUAAAGAGGCUUUGAGGCAGAAGCGUCUAUUGGGUUUCCAGAAGCUGCGUUCAGUCAGUUUUCUACAGAUUGUGUUAGGCUCGAUAUCUGUUAUUAUUGGUGCUAUAGCUCUGUAUUAUACCAGUGCCAAUCCCGCUUUACCUUAUACUGCUGCCGUACCUGUCUGGAUGGGCAUACUGGUAAUUCUCUCCGGUAUUUUGGGAUUGUUAGCUGGUAAAAAUGGUGCUACCGAGACAGAAGUUUCUAUUAAAACUAAAAGUUAGGUGAUAAGUUAUUUCGUCAUUUGUCUUAUUAUGGUAACUUUUUGUAUCCUGGGCGCUUUAGUUGAAAUUGUCGGCAUUGUCUUUUGUACUAUAGCAGAAACCACCGAAGUGUACAAACUGUGUUUACCUAAUAGGACCGGGAAUUUAACCAUGGCAGUGUUUGGAAUGAUUAUUAUGUUGGUUUUGUUUUUAUUUUCUAUCCUGGGUACCUGCUUCUUCUGUUUGUAUGGGCGGUCUUUGGGUUUUAAGAACAGAUAUGACUAUGCAAUGGAACGAGGGUAUCAAAUGGCCCAACAACAACAGCGGCAACAACAACAGCAAGGACAAGAUGGCGGCUACACAAACUGGGGUAAAAGCUAACGCGGAUGGUAUAUAAUACUUAACAAUUUAAGAGCGAGUCCCUUUAAAUCCAAAUGAUAUGAAGGGUUUUACAAUGAAAGGGAUUAGGGUAACUUUGUAUAAUAAAACAAGCACAGUGGGUGCCGGGUAGCUUCACUGAGAUAGGGUAAGGUAAUUAAUUCUUCUACGUAAUUCGUAAUCAAGUACCCUUCCUUUCAUUUGCUUGAUAAAUUCUAGAGAAUCCCCUAAUGGUAGCUGGACCAUAAGCAGUAACUGUUUUUCAUAGAUUAGUAGAUUGUCAAAAGAAUUUUUUUUUUUGAAGUGAUAAGUUCAUAUUUUUAGGUUAUAUUUUUAAAAUGUAUUCAAAUAAAGCCUUAAAAUAGGUUGUAUCUAUAAACAGUCCUACCUUGUUAAAGAAUAAUCCUAUUAAUCCUAUAAUUCACUAUUGCCAGUUGAGAAAUUGGCAAAAAUAUCAUUUUCAACUUCAAAUUCAAACGUUUGAAGAUAGCUAUUCCAUGGGGGGGGGGGGG